GACGAACGCUGGCGGCGUGCUUAACACAUGCAAGUCGAACGGAAAGGCCCUGCUUUUUUGGGGGGCUCGAGUGGCGAACGGGUGAGUAGCAAGUGAGUAACCUGCCCUUGACUUUGGGAUAACUUCAGGAAACUGGGGCUAAUACCGGAUAGGAGCUCCUGCUGCAUGGUGGGGGUUGGAAAGUUUCGGCGGUUGGGGAUGGACUGGCGGCUUAUCAGCUUGUUGGUGGGGUAGUGGCUUACCAAGGCUUUGACGGGUAGCCGGCCUGAGAGGGUGACCGGCCACAUUGGGACUGAGAUACGGACGCGACUCCUGCGGGAGGCAGCAGUGGGGAAUAUUGCACAAUGGGCGGAAGCCUGAUGCAGCAACGCCGCGUGCGGGAUGACGGCCUUCGGGUUGUAAACCGCUUUCGCCUGUGACGAAGCGUGAGUGACGGUAAUGGGUAAAGAAGCACCGGCUAACUACGUG
rnacentral:rRNA from 1 species